rnacentral:rRNA from 1 species
GUAGCGAAAGUUGCGCUAAUACCGCAUAUUCUGUGAGCAGGAAAGCAGGGGACCGCAAGGCCUUGCGCUCUUUGAGCGGCCGAUGUCAGAUUAGCUAGUUGGUGAGGUAAAGGCUUACCAGGCGACGAUCUUUAGCGGGACUGAGAGGAUGAUCCGCCACACUGGAACUGAGACACGGUCCAGACUCCUACGGGAGGCAGCAGUGGGGAAUUUUGGACAAUGGGGGCAACCCUGAUCCAGCCAUGCCGCGUGAGUGAAGAAGGCCUUCGGGUUGUAAAGCUCUUUCGGCCGGGAAGAAAUCGCAUGGGCCAAUACCCUGUGUGGAUGACGGUACCGGAAUAAGAAGCACCGGCUAACUACGUGCCAGCAGCCGCGGUAAUACGUAGGGUGCGAGCGUUAAUCGGAAUUACUGGGCGUAAAGCGUGCGCAGGCGGUUUUGUAAGACAGGCGUGAAAUCCCCGGGCUUAACCUGGGAACUGCGUUUGUGACUGCAAGGCUAGAGUACGGCAGAGGGGGGUGGAAUUCCACGUGUAGCAGUGAAAUGCGUAGAGAUGUGGAGGAACACCAAUGGCGAAGGCAGCCCCCUGGGUCGAUACUGACGCUCAUGCACGAAAGCGUGGGUAGCAAACAGGAUUAGAUACCCUGGUAGUCCACGCCCUAAACUAUGUCAACUAGGUGUUGGGUGGGUAGAACCAUUUAGUACCGUAGCUAACGCGUGAAGUUGACCGCCUGGGGAGUACGGCCGCAAGGUUAAAACUCAAAGGAAUUGACGGGGACCCGCACAAGCGGUGGAUGAUGUGGAUUAAUUCGAUGCAACGCGAAAAACCUUACCUACCCUUGACAUGCCAGGAACUUGCCAGAGAUGGCUUGGUGCCCGAAAGGGAGCCUGGACACAGGUGCUGCAUGGCUGUCGUCAGCUCGUGUCGUGAGAUGUUGGGUUAAGUCCCGCAACGAGGGCAACCCUUGUCGUUAAUUGCCAUCAUUUAGUUGGGCACUUUAACGAGACUGCCGGUGACAAACCGGAGGAAGGUGGGGAUGACGUCAAGUCCUCAUGGCCCUUAUGGGUAGGGCUUCACACGUCAUACAAUGGUCGGUACAAAGGGUUGCCAAGCCGCGAGGCGGAGCCAAUCCCAGAAAGCCGAUCGUAGUCCGGAUUGCAGGCUGCAACUCGCCUGCAUGAAGUCGGAAUCGCUAGUAAUCGUGGAUCAGCAUGUCACGGUGAAUACGUUCCCGGGUCUUGUACACACCGCCCGUCACACCAUGGGAGCGGGUUCCGCCAGAAGUAGGUAGCCUAACCGCAAGGGGGGCGCUUACCACA